UAUUGUCUUUUUUUUUUUUGUUGUUGAUGUGAGUUUUUGCUGCUAUUGAUUGAACUGUGCAACCGAAUACUCUAAAUCAGUGGUUCCCAAACUUUUUUUCUUUAAUGGAACACUUUCCACAAUCUGAGUAUUUUAGCGGAACAAUUCUCUUAUUUUCUGGAGAGAUUAAUUCACGUGGUAGCCUACACUAGUUUAUUAAUCCAAUAGUUCGUGGAACACCUAUUCAGGCCUCGCGGAACACUAAGGUUCCGCGUAACACAGUUCUGGAAACACUGGUCUAAAUUUAAAAAAAAGAUUACAGCUGUGGUCAUUUAAUUGAUUAACUCUACUUCCUUAUAUCGCGAGUCCUUCCAAGC